rnacentral:lncRNA from 1 species
UUUCAAAUUCAAGAGUUCUUGCACAUAUGGAGAUCCAUGGAUGAAACAAGCCUCAAGGGUGUUUAGUAAAGCUAUUAGGAGCCUUUUUGGUGGAACUUGAAGCCAUAAAUCAUCAAGAUUUUCAAAUCUUCAUCUUUGUUUCUUUGCAAAAAUUAUAUUGAUACUUGAUGGUGUCGAGAAACGAACCGCGAACAAGGAAUCGAAUAGAGAUUUGCACGGAACGCAAAUCUGUGAGUUCAUGUUUUCCCCUUUUACUUUGA